AACUUUUCUGCUUUCUGUCGACCAAGCAAAUCCCUGCUUCUCGAACGCUAUCACUCGCAGCGGAACCACCGCCACCGCCACGCCGCUGCGGCGUCAAAUUAUGGGCCUCUAAUGGCGUCGUUUUCUAAAAUCCUCUGUACUCAAGGUAAGUUAUUCUAGGUUUUAGUACCAUAUUCAGAUCAUCCCCAAUUUCGAAAUUUUAGGGAAUUGAUUCGUUUUCGUGUUGCAUGUUUAACAUUCAUCUGGGUGAUGGUGGUUUGACGGGUGUACGAACUGGAAUUGCUGAUGGUAGGCUUGAAUUUGGCCAAAUUUGGGCAUAAGCACCUCUACUGUUGUCUCGAAGCUGGAUGGCGAAGAUGGACGGAUUGUGUUCAAGGCUCAGUUGUGAUUUUGCUGGGAAAGGCUGAAGAAGUUAAGGAGACCGCAGUUCGUGUGGCUGCAGCGUGAAGGCAUAUAUGAUUCAGCAGAGUUUGAGUUGAAACUUGGAUGAUGAGUAGUAGCUGGGUAAUUCAAUAGCAUAAUAAGGAUGUGUAUAUGAGAGACAGAUUUAUCACUUUGCUUCCUAAUGCAUGUUUUCUUACAUGCCCUUUGAUAUAAAUAAUAAGGUUUUUUGCAGCUCACAUCUUUCUCUCUCUCUCAGCGCACACACUCACACAGAAACUACCACAUUAUUAGAAAAGCUGAAGAAACACUAGAAUUUAGCGAGUCUGAAUCGUUGAGGUUGACAUUUAGGGUUCUGGGUCUGCUUCAAAUUUCAAAUUUUAUCCCCAUAUUUUAGUGUCAUGUACGGUUUGUGUUGCGCUAAAAGCAUGAUUGUUUAUGUUGGAGUGGUUUAAGGGAAUGUCCAACUGAGUUGGGCAGUUUUUGUUCAUUCUGUGAAGGUGAGCGUCUUUGGAGGUAUUGUGGGUAUAUUGUCCGAAUUGGGGUUUUUAAAGUUGAAAUUUAAUCUGGAUUCUGAAUUUUUUUUACAAUUUAGUAAUUUGUGGAGUUAUUCUUAGUUUUUAUCAAAAAAUUUGAUCUAGGUUUCAUAUAUUUUGUGAAAUUAUAUAUAUAUUGUUGUGGUAGUUCAGGUAAUUUAUGCGUUUGAAAAGCUCGAGAGUUGAAUGUGACAAAGUAAGCAGAUCAACAUGCAAACCUGAAACCAAAAAGCUCAAACCUCGACAAUUCGAUGCAGUAAUCAACCUUAGUUAUGCGACUCAAAAUCUGGGGCAGCUUCUGGACCUUAUUCUCAGGAAGGUAACAUUUUUAUUUCUUUUCCUUAUCAUUUGAUUGGGUUUUGGAUUUACGAUUUCAAUUUGGUGCCAUUAAGCUAUCACCCUUGGACCCUAGAAUUCAGGUAACCCCAUGAUUUUAAUAUUCCUUUUUCUGUUUUAUGUAAUUAUUGUUCUAUGAAUUGUAUUUUUCGGUUAAAUAAUGAUUAAUUAGAAUGUCUAGGGAAAAAACUCGGGCAUUGCAGCGUUUGGAGUGAACACAAUGGAACAAUGGAAUCAAUUUUCAUUUUCCAAAGACCGGCUCCAACUUUGUUGAUGAAUUUCGUUCUCAAUUUUAAUCGGCUAUCUACUUGAAUCCA